rnacentral:lncRNA from 10 species
GGCCUACGGAAAGUGUGUCCACAUUUAUUGGGAGGGGGAGAGCCAACCUUCGCCUUUGUGCCAAGUCUCCUAAGAACAAACACGCAGAGCCUGCUCCCAGAUGGACAAAGGAAAAAAGAACUGAGCAUUGGCAAAAAGCUGAGGAUGACAAGCUUAGGGGAUGAAAGGCUGCCUUUUCCCCCCCUUCUGAGCGUUUCUGACAGCUCCCAGCUGGGAGAAACCAACAUGACGAAAAGACAAAGAAUACUGGAGAAGAGAGAGGGUGGGCAGAGCCACAACCUCAUCCUCCCAGUGGUUCCUCUUGAGUUUGAUUUGACAAGAUGCCUUCCCACCCAGGUAACCCCGUGGGAACGUGCCAGUACCUCACCGCACGACCUCACUGAGUCCUCACAACAAAUCCAGGCUGCAGAUUUUUUUCCCCACUUGGAGAUGACAAAUUGAAAUGCAGGAAGGUUAAAGAGUUUGCCUGAGGUUGCUUAGAUAAUAAAAGAAUCUGGAUUAGAACCCAGACCUACCCAGCUAAA